rnacentral:piRNA from 1 species
UGAAGAUAGAGCUUUGCCAGAAGGGUC